rnacentral:rRNA from 1 species
GUUGAACGCUGGCGGCAGGCCUAACACAUGCAAGUCGAACGAGUGGCGGACGGGUGAGUAAUGUCUGGGAAACUGCCUGUUGGAGGGGGAUAACUACUGGAAACGGUAGCUAAUACCGCAUACCAUCAGAUUUGCACAGAUGGGCUUAGCUUGUUGGGGGGGUAACGGCUCACCAAGACGACGAUCCCUAGCUGGUCUGAGAGGAUGACCAGCAACACGGGAACUGAGACACGGUCAAGACUCCUACGGGAGGAAGCAGUGGGGAAUAUUGCACAAUGGGCGAAAGCCUGAUGCAGCCAUGCCGCGUGUAUGAAGAAGGCCUUCGGGUUGUAAAGUACGUUCAGCGGGGAGGCGUUACCCGCAGAAGAAGCACCGGCUAACUCCGUGCCAGCAGCCGCGGUAAUUC